rnacentral:rRNA from 1 species
UACAGAGGUCUCAAGCGUUUGUUCGGAUUCAUUGGGCGUAAAGGGUGCGUAGGUGGCGCCGUAAGUCGGGUGUGAAAUUUCGGAGCUUAACUCCGAAACUGCAUUCGAUACUGCGGUGCUUGAGGACUGGAGAGGAGACUGGAAUUCAUGGUGUAGCAGUGAAAUGCGCAGAUAUCAGGAGGAACACCGGCGGCGAAGGCGGGUCUCUGGGCCAUAACUGACGCUGAGGAGCGAAAGCGUGGGGAUCAAACAGG